rnacentral:rRNA from 1 species
UACGUAGGGUGCGAGCGUUAAUCGGAAUUACUGGGCGUAAAGCGUGCGCAGGCGGCUUUGCAAGACAGAUGUGAAAUCCCCGGGCUCAACCUGGGAACUGCAUUGGAGACUGCGUGGCUAGAGUGUGGCAGAGGGGGGUGGAAUUCCGCGUGUAGCAGUGAAAUGCGUAGAUAUGCGGAGGAACACCAAUGGCGAAGGCAAUCCCCUGGGCCUGUACUGACGCUCAUGCACGAAAGCGUGGGGAGCAAACAGG